rnacentral:rRNA from 1 species
ACUCCUACGGGAGGCAGCAGUGGGGAAGUAUUGCACAAUGGGCGCAAGCCUGAUGCAGCCAUGCCGCGUGUAUGAAGAAGGCCUUCGGGUUGUAAAGUACUUUCAGCAGUGAGGAAGGUGGGUAUGUUAAUAGCAUACUCAUUUGACGUUAGCUGCAGAAGAAGCACCGGCUAACUCCGUGCCAGCAGCCGCGGUAAUACGGAGGGUGCGAGCGUUAAUCGGAAUUACUGGGCGUAAAGCGCAUGCAGGUGGUUUGUUAAGUCAGAUGUGAAAGCCCGGGGCUCAACCUCGGAAUUGCAUUUGAAACUGGCAAACUAGAGUACUGUAGAGGGGGGUAGAAUUUCAGGUGUAGCGGUGAAAUGCGUAGAGAUCUGAAGGAAUACCGGUGGCGAAGGCGGCCCCCUGGACAGAUACUGACACUCAGAUGCGAAAGCGUGGGGAGCAAACAGGAUUAGAUACCCUGGAGGC